GUUGCACUACGACGUUGGUGACUGCCAUCAAGUUUUUUGAUCUAUGUCUUUAAAGAAAAGGGAAGCUAACAAGUCUCGUGGCAGUAAACCGGGCGUGUACCCGGAAACUUAAAACGAAGAAAGUCGGCACCCACCUGGUUUAACCAGGUCAUAAACUUAGGUAAAACGGCGUUGCGGUGAACUU
rnacentral:other from 20 species